rnacentral:rRNA from 1 species
GCUCAGGACGAACGCUGGCGGCGUGCCUAAUACAUGCAAGUCGAACGAAGCUUUCUUUCACCGAAUGCUUGCAUUCACCGAAAGAAGCUUAGUGGCGAACGGGUGAGUAACACGUAGGCAACCUGCCCAAAAGAGGGGGAUAACACUUGGAAACAGGUGCUAAUACCGCAUAACCAUGAACACCGCAUGAUGUUCAUGUAAAAGACGGCUUUUGCUGUCACUUUUGGAUGGGCCUGCGGCGUAUUAACUUGUUGGUGGGGUAACGGCCUACCAAGGUGAUGAUACGUAGCCGAACUGAGAGGUUGAUCGGCCACAUUGGGACUGAGACACGGCCCAAACUCCUACGGGAGGCAGCAGUAGGGAAUCUUCCACAAUGGACGAAAGUCUGAUGGAGCAACGCCGCGUGAAUGAAGAAGGCCUUCGGAUCGUAAAAUUCUGUUGUCAGAGAAGAACGUGCGUGAGAGUAACUGUUCACGUAUUGACGGUAUCUGACCAGAAAGCCACGGCUAACUACGUGCCAGCAGCCGCGGUAAUACGUAGGUGGCGAGCGUUGUCCGGAUUUAUUGGGCGUAAAGGGAACGCAGGCGGUCUUUUAAGUCUGAUGUGAAAGCCUUCGGCUUAACCGAAGUAGUGCAUUGGAAACUGGAAGACUUGAGUGCAGAAGAGGAGAGUGGAACUCCAUGUGUAGCGGUGAAAUGCGUAGAUAUAUGGAAGAACACCAGUGGCGAAAGCGGCUCUCUGGUCUGUAACUGACGCUGAGGUUCGAAAGCGUGGGUAGCAAACAGGAUUAGAUACCCUGGUAGUCCACGCCGUAAACGAUGAGUGCUAAGUGUUGGAGGGUUUCCGCCCUUCAGUGCUGCAGCUAACGCAUUAAGCACUCCGCCUGGGGAGUACGGUCGCA